CUACGGGAUGCAGCAGUGAGGAAUAUUGCACAAUGGGGGAAACCCUGAUGCAGCAACGCCGCGUGGAGGAUGACGCAUUUCGGUGUGUAAACUCCUUUUAUCAGAGAAGAAAAUGACGAUAUCUGAUGAAUAAGCUCCGGCUAACUCCGUGCCAGCAGCCGCGGUAAUACGGAGGGAGCAAGCGUUAUUCGGAAUCACUGGGCGUAAAGGACGCGUAGGCGGGUUUUUAAGUCAGGUGUGAAAUCCUAUGGCUCAACCAUAGAACUGCACUGGAAACUGGGGACCUAGAGUAUGGAAGGGGCAGGUGGAAUUAGUGGUGUAGGGGUAAAAUCCGUAGAUAUCACUAGGAAUACCGAAAGCGAAGGCGACCUGCUGGGACAUUACUGACGCUGAGGCGUGAAAGCGUGGGGAGCAAACAGGAUUAGAUACCCCCGUAGUC
rnacentral:rRNA from 1 species